ensembl:lncRNA
AGUUGGUAUCAGACAGUAAAUUAGCAUGCUUCCAUACAUGAGACCAUCUGGGACAUAUUCAGAUUUUUCCAGCCCAUGGCUGGUUCUCACCAAAGCAAGUUCUGCUCUGCUGUCAAGUGAUGAGGUGCAGAGCAGAGAAACGGGAGAACAAGAAAGAAAGAAAGAGGUGGUAACUCACUUCUCUGCCUAGUUUGGAAAACAAUAUCUGACUUUAAAAUGAAUGAUAUAAAAUGUUCAUCUUCCCUUCAGAAAAUACAAGUGUUGCUAAGUGCUGCUGUAGUGCUAUAUUGAUGAUAAUGAAAUUCAUGCAAUUUUUUUUUCACUGCUAUAGCUUUUCAUCUCCUGAUACUACACCCUACACAGCCCUAACAGUGGCAUAGGCUGUAUCUGUUUAAAUAUAAGAUGCAGACUCACUUAGAGAAAUAAAUGUUAUGCUGUUUUCUUUUUCUGGAGGGAUUGUCAUGGUUUUGUAACUUUGCUAUUGGUAUUCCACAUCAUAACAUCAUGGACAAAAGAGAAGAAGAACUACGUAUCCCAGAGGAACUCAUGGUCAGAGAAGGAAGAUACAUCACAGAAGAUACGUCAUCUGGCUGCGCGCGGUCUUUUUCACUUUCACUUGCUGCCAGAGAGAGGAGUGGGUGUGCUUCCAAGCCGUGCGCCUUCAUCAGAUGUAUUGAGUGGAAACAAAAACUCAUGCUCAGAUCAACAGCAACUGAAGUCAACCUUGGCUUUGUCCAUCCAAGUCAUGAAAAUCUUCAGGGAUGGAGAUACCUCAACCCCCCUGGCUACCAAGCUGUUUGAUUACCUCCACCCUUGUGAGUGUCCUUCCAAGAACUGCUAGACACUGCUAAGUUUGCCCUUGCUGCCCAUUCCUUUAUUGGAGAUCGAACCUUCCGCUGGACCCUUCUCAGACUCCUGAAUUUGGCACCGUUACUUCACGUCUGACCUUAGCACAAUGCUGAGUAGAAAGGAGACGUUAUUUCUGCUGAUUUCCUGGUGAUGAAUCUCCUCAGGUAACCCAGUUUGCCUAAUUGAAAAGAGACCUCAUUAAUCCAUAUCUGUUGGUAUCCAUUCCUAGAUCUUUUUCAACAAUCUGCUACUCUACUAAUCCAGUCUGAGCCUCUAUAGAUGCAUGGGGUUAUUCCAUUCAUAAGUAACUGAACAAACCCUCAAGUAUUCCAGUCAAUCAGUGAAUAAAUAGAGAAAUAAAUGAAAUUACAUGAUAAUACUACUAUUCUAAAGUACCACGUUGUAGUACAGUGUCCUACAGUAUAGGACUACACUAAUAUCCCUUUUCAUUUUCCUGUCUUGAAACCUUCAAAAAAAAAAAAAAAAAAAAAAACUAAAAGAAAAAGAGUAACAAAAAAGUUAGCAGUUUUAUGUUAUUAUUUCUUUUUCCUGCUAUCCAAACAGAUCUUUGGAUAAAGUGUUUCAGAUUCUUUUAAUGAUACAAUCAGGCGGAACGAAGAUACCAGGUAACAUAGAUAGCAUCACUGAGUAAAUUUCUACCAUACCUGUUUCAGUAGGAGUUUAGUUUACCAGAAAUUAUUACAGAACCACAGAAUCAUAGAGGCUGAUAAUCAUCUAGUUCAGAGAUCACCUAGUCCAACCACCCUGCUAAAGCAGUGGGAGAUAAAUUGUAACAAUACAUGGAUAAUAAAAAUUCUUAUGCUUAGUUUGCAACCAUUACCUCAUCAGUGACUAGGAAGUGGCAACUAGAGAAUACACAGAUAAAUGAUAUUGAGUGAAUAGGCAUGAAGGAUUUUUCAAAGUUUUCUGUGGAGUGAAAAAGAAAAUGUAUAUAGAGUAUCACACAAUUUACAGAUUCCAAUUAAAAAGAAUUUGUGAACAAUUUUUAAGUGCACGCUUUAACAUUGUAACCAUAUGGAUAAGAAAAGAAAACUACUUAUCAGAAAUCAUCAUAAAUAUUUAUUCUUUAAAGGUUUAAAAGACUUCAAAAUGGAUAGCAAAUGUUUAGUUAUUACAAGAAUAGAACUAUCAAUCAAAACCAAAGAGACACUUCUAGGGUAAAAUAUGUCAGACUUAAGCAAAUCAAAACAUGAAGUUAUCAAAAUAGAAUGAAAAAAAUAUCAGUUAAAAUCAUUGAUUUUAAGUAGAAAUUCUACUGGACUAAUGACAACUUCUGCGAUGUUAUUUAUACUGAAAUAUAUAGUUAAAGAUUUAGAUUAUAUUUUCCUAAUUCUAUGUUUAUGUACUACGCCCCAUCUUCACUUAUAAAAUAACAAAAAAAUGGAUCUCAGAAGGUUAUCAUAGAAUCAUAUCAUAGAAUCAUAGAAUGGCCUGGGUUGAAAAGGACCCUAAUGAUCAUCUAGUUUCAACCCCCCGUGCUGUGGGCAGGGUUGCCAACCUCUAGACCAGGCUGCCCAGAGCUACAUCCAGCUUUGCCUAGAAUAAAGGUUAGGAGCACUUCUAUUUAUUGUGAGUAUUUCUAUCCACAGACUCAUCUUGGAAGAACCUCUAUUGUUUACCUUAGCAUCUAGUCCUCAUUUAAAAAAGUAUAACAAUUUGUAUAUGCUGAAUAUUUAUUUAUAUUAGUGUUCCUCUUAGUAGACAAUAUUUUCCAUGAUAUUUCAUUGUCCAGACUCUAAAUAAAAGAAAUAAAUCUUCAUCUCUCAACAAUGAAUCUCUGCAUUUUAUAGUACUAAUUCAGUAACAAUCAGCAAAACAUUCUCAAGAAGAUGAUUUAUAGAGUUGAGUUGUGUGGAGAAAAGAAGUCUGCAUAGUAAUCAGGUGAGUUUACUGCAAAGAGUUUCUCUUCUCCUAAAAUCUGGAGGCAUUCAAGAGUGUUUUCUGAAAUCCUUUUUACUUUGUAAAUGGAACAAAUUGUAAAUUUAUCAUGGAAAAUGUUACUAAUUAAAGCAGGAUGAUAAUGCUCUUUAGACUACUGAAAAUAGAAAGCAAUGACAUGAGACCUUGGGACAUGGUGAAUUAAAAACCAGGAAAUAAAACAGCAGUAGUUGCUCUAAUUAUGGAUACACAGAGCAAGAGGGCCCCAAAUUCAGAAUUCAUGUUUAACAGCAGUUCAGAGGACAUUUAUUAUAGCUUUAUUUUGUAUGCAUAGUGUGUGACUGAAUGACAGAGUGUUAGAAUGUUAAAUUUGACAUUAAGGGUCAGAAAAGGAUGCAACUGAAUCGGUCACUUUCAGCUCCAACAAAGUUUUCCUAGCAAAAAGAUAACAACAAGAAAAGUGACUGCUUAUUCAUUCAAAGAACCACAUAAAAUAAAUUAUAGUUCCUCAACACCUUGAAAAACCACUUAGAUUGCAAGUAAAGCUUAGCUUGUUCAGAAUGUACUCACAAUAUGCAACAGGGAAAAUAUUAACAGAAUACAAGCAAGAGAGAACAAAGUUGCCCUAGGCCUCUAAAAUUUGUUACAUUUUACCAAUUACUUUACAUUUACCAAUUAUUAGAAAAAGAUUUAAUCUUUUUCCAUUAUUUUAAAAUCCACCUUUUAAUUUGAAUCACACCAAACUCAAUGGACUGACCACUUAGGAAGCCUGUUCUGUUACAAACAAUGAACAUAGGUUAAAAUUGAUUCUAAAUAAACAUGACUUAGAGAUGGCUACAAGAUCAUCAAAAGCAGGUAAUAAGCAAUCUACAUUUUUCAAUAAAAUAUGCUAUGACUAAGAAGAGGUAUAAAGUUUUCAUUUAUGGUAUAUUCAUUAUAGUCACAUAAUUUUAACUCCCAUUGUGUUUUCUUUUUUCUUGGUUUGUUUCCUUCUCUUUGCAUUUGAUCCAUUUGACAUGGAGGAAACAAUGAAUGUGGCUCUAAGUUUUACCUCCACUCUCUAAAACAGUUGGAGGCUAAAAUCUGACACAGUGUAGGACAACUUCAAAGCUUCUCCGGUUUGUCUUACAGAGCCACCAGAAGUGAUUCUGCUAUUUGAAAUCAUGAAAAUACAGCGAUUUCCUAAUCACAUUAAUACUUAGGCAAAAAAAAAAAAAAAAUUAAGAAAAUUAAGAAAAAUUAAAUGUCAGCCUUUCGAUCUGAUUUAUAAGCAAAAAGUAUAAGGCAUGAAAUUAAAAACAAAACAAAACAAAAAAAAAACAACAGGGAAAAGUUAAUGAAACUGUAUCAAUCCUUAAAAAGCUGGGAAGCAGUCUUACUUUUAAGCUCAGUGAAAAGUAUGCCUUUAAUUCUGUUGCUUUUUUUUUUAAAUUAAACUCCAUUGAUGUUUUGCUUUAUUUUACUCUUGUGACUCUCCCCAGACUGUCCACAAUCUAAUCUCAAGUAUGUUUUUAAUAUUGUGGUUUGUUUGUUUUUAAUAUUUAAGUAUAAACAGUGAAAGUCUUGUGAAAAGUUCCCCUUUUUCCCCCAUAGCACCUUUUCUUUUAUUUUACUCUCUGCAGAAGAUUCUAUGAAUUAAACAGACCAUAAAUCAUUUCCAAAUAUUUGAUACUUAAUGUAUAAUUCUGUAACAGGAUGAUCUGUAACUUCCUUGGAUUUCAGGAAAAAAAAAAAAUGUUAGUACCUCAUGCAUCUUAGAGAUAAGAGAGAAAUUAAGUUGCUGAAGUUAUUUUCAGGUUUUUAUUUGCAGACUUCAGUGUUGCAUAUUGAUAUUUUAAUAGAAGAUAACCUAUCACUAACAUUCUGUGGUUUUAUUCAAUGUUGUUUAAGAAGUUUUCCUACUUAGUAUUAUUUUUUCUUCUGUAUUAUCUCUUCAUGUGUAGAAUGCCAUCAUAAAUUUUGAAAGUUCACAAAGACUGUUAAUGUAGUUUAGAUCAGUUCUUAGAAUUAAUAGGAAUAUUUUUAGCACAGUCAGAAAUGCUGGCCUUAAUCUCUGUCUUCUUCCUCUAGCUUUGCUGUUCAUGUAUUACCUGUGCACUGUUAGUUCUGCAUGGCUAGCUAGAUAUUCAUUAUGCAAUAAAUAGACAAAUACUGUUUUUGCUACUAUCAAAAUUUUCUGCACUUCACAAACUGUGUACUAAGCUAGAUGUCAGUUUAAUCUUGGCAGAUGAGUUAGCACUAUGCAUGUUUGGAAUUCAACAAUUUGGAAUUCAGUUCAGUAAUUGAGAUUCUACAUUAGCACAAAACACUGUUAAGUAAAUAGAUACAAAUUCAGGUCAAAACUUAGGUACAGAAAGAGGAAAAUCAUAAAGAUAUUAGAUAUUUCCUCUUCAUAUACUUCAUGAACACUGUUAAUUUUAAAAAACAGUAUUAUCUUAGAAAACUGCAUGACUUUGAAACCAAGACGGUUACCUGAACCUGCAACAUUAUCUACUAGCAAGUUAAGAAAGUAUAGAAAGAGUAACUAAAUAGAACCUGAAAGAAUCUGAUAUCAUGGAGGAUGAAGGAGAAGGAAACAACAACAACAAAAUUUUGCCUGUCCAAUAUAUUCUUUCCUUCAUAUGUAUACAAGAUAGUUCAAGGAUCUAGGAAGAACAUUCUCACUGAAAUUAUGAAGACUAAAGCAAACGUAAUCACUGACCUUGCAAAGAUCCUUACUUUCUCUAAGAAGGCUUUCUAAAUUUGUCAGCUAUCUACACAUACAAGGAAUGUGGGUUUGAGAAGUAAUUCAUGGGGAAGAUUGGGAUUACAAGAGGAACUUCAUCAAUAUAACACCAAGUAUUGCAAAACCGAAAUUUUAGGUACGCUUUCAUAAGGCGAAAUCUGAAACAGUAGUCACUCUGUUACAUGAUAUCACUAUAGCUUUACUCACCUGCAAAGGAGAACUAGUUCAUUUACCAUCCUGAAGUUGUAUAGCUGCAAUAACAUGAGACUGUCCACUCGGAAAAAUCCAUUGAAUAUAGCACACUAUGCUAAAUAGUUCAAGUAGCUUCAGUAGUAUAGCUGGCUUAUAUACCACCACAUAUAUAUGUAAGCUAUGUAAAUAAGUAACUAUUUAAUCCUAACCGUACAGUCACAUCCUAAGUUUGAAUACAUAGGACUCAAUACUUUACCUGUGUUAACUGUCAGUAUAUUACAUAUUCUCACACAUCUACUCUGUCAAAAAUGUAAUUCAUAUUUUUAGUUUAUGAAACAUAUCAAAUAUGAUAUGGUUAAAAUACUCUUUUAAGUCUAAAGUAUUGCUGAACUUAACAGUUUCCAAGGAACUGCGUAAAAAGCUUUGUUUAUAAAUAUUCAAAGCAUGAAAAUAAUUUGGAACUACAGGUGGCAUUCUUUUUAAUGUGGUUUCAAGACUGAAAUAAAAAGAGUUUGUUCGCCUAUUUUCUUUCAAUUUACAUUCAAAGCCUAGACAAAUAUUUCAUCCACGUUCAGAGAAGCAAGUUCUGUAGUAUAAUCUCACACAAGUGGUCAAAACCUUUGCAAAACUGACUGGUGAAUCUAGAAGACAUCUGUUCAUCCUCUUACGUCUUACCAUCAUCUGUGGCUUCCCAAUAUCUUCUUUCCUCUUCUCCCUUUCUUCUCCUACCUUUGCCUUAAAAUACACAGGGGAGAACUGCUUAAAGUAUAAACAUCUUAUUACUUAAAAAUAAACAAAAAUAUAUAUUAGAGUCUUGUUGAAAAGUAAGCAUGUGUAUACCUAUUGAUUUUAAGAAGUAAUCUUUUAGGAAAAAAAAAAAGCUAUGUAAAUGUAAAACACUAUGCAAAAAUCACUAAGUCAAUCUAAAAGCAUUAAAUCCACUGUAAGACAUUUUAGGAAUGUGCAUUUAAAAUCUAUAGCCUUCAGAGUUAAACUUAAACACAUAAUUAAGGUCUGUAUAUUGAGAGAUUUACAAGUUUUCAAAUCUCGUUGCCUAUAAAAAAAUGUCAAAAUUCUUAAUGCUUAAUUACUGAACUUUUAUCAUUUUAAUGUUAGUGUGACUCAAGAUCUCAUUCUGACCUUUCUAUUUGAAUAAUAAGAAAUAUAACAUCAGAAGUUUGUGGAAGUUAGUUAUAAGGCUGUCAAGUCACUUCAUUUUCUCUUAGAAAAAGGAAAUAGAUCGAUCUUCUUAACAUAUUUCCCAGACAGAAUUAUUCAUGUCAUUAUUUUCUCCUGAAAAUCACUGUUUCUUCAUGAUGUAUGGACAUAAGUAGAUACAGUAUUCUAAUAAUUCUAUCUCAAAACUGUAUUCAUGCAUAUUUUCAUUUCUUGCCACUGUUUCACAUUACUUUUGCUCUUAUAUUUUCCCUCACAAAUUACAUACUGCUCUGGGGACACAUGCUUUAUUGGAUAUAUUUUCUUAACUUCAAACUCUUCUAAUCAAAAGUAUCUGUCAAAAACAAAGUCUCUAAUUCCACAAGACAAUGAUCUUUCUGCAUCUUCUGAUGGUGAUUUAUAUAAUGAUUGCUAUUCUCCCGCUUCCCUUAUUUCAUCUUUUAGUUGUAUGUUGACCUUUUUAUCCAGAGGAAUGUAGGUGAGAGGGUUAAAUCUAGAUGUGUAAUUUUUUUCGAGUGGAAUCUUUAUUACUUGUAGUUAAUUCUAAGAUUUAACAAUCAUUGAAAGUAAUUCAUUUGGUUAGUAAAUCUUCCUUAAUGUGGAAAUUGCUCUAGGAAAAAAUUUUAACUACUGUGUACUAUUCUAUAGUAGCAUUAUAUAAACAUUGCAUUAGUGAAAUAUGUUUGCUGUUAAAAUCUUGCAACUAUAAAGCAACGCUUGUUUAUCCAUUUUUCAUUUUUGGAUAUAUUGUUAGAUAUUGUGAAAAAUAUUACAGCUAAUUCCAAUUGUUUUUAAAUUUUCAAUGAGAAAUUUAAAUAAAAACUUUACAUUAGAUGCU